rnacentral:rRNA from 1 species
AGCAUAUGCUUGUCUCAAAGAUUAAGCCAUGCAAGUCUAAGUACACACGGCCGGUACAGUGAAACUGCGAAUGGCUCAUUAAAUCAGUUAUGGUUCCUUUGAUCGCUCCAACGUUACUUGGAUAACUGUGGCAAUUCUAGAGCUAAUACAUGCCAACGAGCGCUGACCCUUGCGGGGAUGCGUGCAUUUAUCAGACCCAAAACCCAUGCGGGGUCUUUCCCCUCGGGGCGGGGGCCCCGGCCGCUUUGGUGACUCUAGAUAACCUCGAGCCGAUCGCUGGCCCUCGUGGCGGCGACGUCUCAUUCGAAUGUCUGCCCUAUCAACUUUCGAUGGUACUUUCUGUGCCUACCAUGGUGACCACGGGUAACGGGGAAUCAGGGUUCGAUUCCGGAGAGGGAGCCUGAGAAACGGCUACCACAUCCAAGGAAGGCAGCAGGCGCGAAAAUUACCCAAAUCCGAAUUUCGGGAGGUAGUAACGAAAAAUACCAUGACAGGCAAAUUGUCUGUACUUGGAAUGAGUUUAAUUUAACAAGUUAUUCGAGAAACUAUUGGAGGGCAAGUCUGGUGCCAGCAGCCGCGGUAAUUCCAGCUCCAAUAGUGUAUAAUAAAAUUGUUGCGGUUAAAAAGCUCGUAGUUAAAAGACAAAAUUAGUCUAUUAUAUGGUCUUUAAUAACCUAUAUAAUUUGAUUAAUUUUUUAUUGCAAAUUAUAUCAUUUUGCUUAAUUGCAACUUGAUUGUCGUUUGCAUAAUGUGCCUUGAAUAAACUAGAGUGCUCAAUGCAAGCUUAUGCUAGCAUAAUAAAACAUGGAACGAUCUAUAUUCAUUCCUACUUGGUUAGUUGGUAACACCUAACUUAUAUAAUAUUAUAUUAUAUCAAAACCGUAAAAUUAAUUGGUGUAUACUUCAUUAUUUGNAUAUUCAUUUAAUGGUGAUCUCAAUUAAUUUUAUUGGGUUUGCUCUAUUUUAUUUAUUAUAUUUUGGGAACCGAGUAGGAUGCAGAUUAAAAGAAACAAUUGAGGGCGUUGGUACUGGGCAGCGAGAGGUGAAAUUCAUUGACCUGUCCAAGACUUACUAAAGCGAAGGCAUACGCCAAGAUUGUUUUCAUUAAUCAGGAGCGAUCGUUGAGGGAUCAAAGACGAUUAGACACCGUUGUAGUCUCAUACAGUAAACUAUGCCCACCUAAGGUUAGCCCAUUAUAACAACUUAUAGGUUGGCCUUCCAGAGAAAUCUCAAGUUUUUGGGUUCUGGGGGGAGUACGUGUCGCAAGGCUGAAACUUAAAAGAAUUGACGGAAGGACACCACAAGGGGUGGAGCCUGCGGCUUAAUUUGACUCAACACGGGGCAACUUACCAGGUCCGUACAUUAAAAGGAUUGUCAGAUUAAUAGCUCUUACAUGAUAUAAUGUUUGGUGGUGCAUGGCCGUUCUUAAUUGGUGGAGCAAUUUGUCUGGUUAAUUCCGAUAACGAACGAGACUGUGAUCUUUAUUUUAUGCCUCAAUUUUAUAUAACAUUUAUAUAAACUUGUUAAUAUAAUAUGCAAUAUUUAAAACUAUUGUUAUAUUAUAUUAAUAUAGUAUAUAUACGUGUGAAUUGAGAUAGUAGAGAGACAACCGUGCGCCUCAAGCCGGAGGAGGCGCAGCAAUAACAGGUCUGUGAUGCCCUUAGAUGUUCUGGGCUGCACGCGCGCUACAAUGAGGUUGACAAAAAGUUACUGCUUUGAAAAAGGUGGUCAAACAUUAAUCAACCUCAUAAUUGGGAUAGAAUACUGUAAUUGUGUUCUUAGAACGAGGAAUCCCUCGUAAGUACGGGUCACCAACCCGUGCUGAAUACGUCUAUGUCCUUUGUACACACCGCCCGUCGCUACUACUGAUUUAAUCAUGUUUCAAAGUAUAGAGAUUUGAAAAGAAUUUAUUCUUUUUAAAGAACCAUCCUAAGAAAUUGGUUAGAGAGGAAGUAAAA